rnacentral:SRP_RNA from 1 species
CGUCGGUCCCCCCGCAACGACCAGCUGUGAACCCCGCCAGGCCCGGAAGGGAGCAACGGUAGCAGUGAUGUCGUGUGCCGGGGUGUGGCUGGCGAGG